GCAUUUUGAGCAGCAGCAAAGAAGCAGAACAACGUAAAAUGUGUGGUGGAAGGCUCAAAAGGGAAGUGGAACAGUUCGAUAAAAAACAGCAAGAAUGAUGAGGUCAUUGAUAGGAAAUGAUUAAAGAUUUUGUUGGAGAUUGGGAUGGAAGGUGUGCGGGAAGAGAAUGCAAACUCAUGUAAUUGCACUUUGCAGUGCAUUUGGUUCCCAAAACCCUAGAUGUUGUUUUUAUGUUUUAGACAUAGAAGUAAAAAGGUAGUUGGUAAAAGUCAACAACAUUAGUCUUCCUUCUUCAAGCAUGCUUGUCUAACAACAAGCUCAAUAGGUAGUUCAAGCUUAUAACUUGGUCUAAAACUAGCAUUUGAGCUAAGAGGAGCCAACUGCCAAGCUGAGUUUCUGCAGCAAAUAGCUUGGCUAAUGCACAACAAUAGUUUCAAUGGUUUAUCCUCACUGUUCCUUUAUUCAUAGCAUGAUUGUGCUUGGUUUUUUUGCUUUGUAGUCAUGAUUGAGGCUCUGUUCAGUGUUCCUGUCGUGAUCGAAGCUUCAGUCCAAGAUUAUUGUGAAUCUAAACCAAACUUUGCUGAACUUACCGUACUCCAUGGUGUUUUGGAUUUGAGAAAUUGAAAGUCUUUGAACUUUGUGUACAUGCAUUGGA
rnacentral:lncRNA from 1 species